rnacentral:rRNA from 1 species
GUCUAUGGCCAUACCACCCACAAUGUGCCCAAUCUCGUCUGAUCUCGGAAGCUAAGCAGAGUCGGGCCUGGUUAGUACUUGGAUGGGAGACCACCUAGGAAUACCAGAUACUGUAGGCG